rnacentral:tRNA from 1 species
AAUGAAUUGCCUGACAAAAGGGCUAUUUUGAUAGAAUAGAUUAUAUAAUAUUUAUUAUAUUCAUUA